rnacentral:rRNA from 1 species
UGGGGAAUCAUGGUCAAUGGGCGAAAGCCUGAACCUGCGACGCCGCGUGAGUGAUGAAGGUCGUAAGAUCGUAAAACUCUUUUCAGGGAUCUUAAAGCACAACCGUCAACAACGGCUGUGUGUGACUCUCCCUGGAAGAAGCCCCAGCCAACUACGUGCCAGCAGCUGCGGUAAUACGUAGGGGGCGAGCGUUAUUCGGAAUUACUGGGUGUAAAGGGCGCGUAGGCGGUUUGGUAAGUCUGAUGUGAAAUCUCCAUCGCUCAACGAGGAGUCUGCAUCGGAUACUGCCAAUCUUGAGUACGGGAGAGGUGAGUGGAAUUCCUGGUGUAGCGGUGGAAUGCGUAGAUAUCAGGAGGAACACCGGUGGCGAAAGCGGCUCACUGGCCCGUAACUGACGCUGAGGCGCGAAAGCGUGGGGAGCAAACA